AGAAUGAGGUCCAAGUAUGUGGGCACCUGGCACCCGGCCGCUCCUCCCUUGGGGCACAAUGGGGUCUUCUCCCUUCCGUGAGCUGAGGGGCUGGGAGGGUGCCCACUGGGGCUGUAGCCUGGGCUGGGGCAUGGGGCACAAGGGCCUGUGUGCCCAGCUCAUUUGGGCCGUGGCCUGGCUCUGAGGGUGUGGGCCGGCUGCUUGGAGCGUGAUCCUUUCAUCUGCCCUUUUUGCGAGUGGGAGAUAAGAUGGCCAGGCUGCGGUUACUCCUGAACCUGUGCUCUCUGCUUUGCCAGUCCUGUCCUCACCAGACUUCUCACAGGUCCCCGUUUCUGUGGAAGAGGGGAUCUUGUGUGGACGCGGAUGUCCUCCUGGAGGCCUGCUGUGCGGACGGACACCGGAUGGCCACUCAUCAGAAGGACUGCUCGCUGCCAUAUGCUACGGAAUCCAAAGAAUGCA
rnacentral:lncRNA from 1 species